rnacentral:rRNA from 1 species
UGGGGAAUUUUGGACAAUGGGCGAAAGCCUGGUCCAGCAAUGCCGCGUGUGUGAAGAAGGCCUUCGGGUUGUAAAGCACUUUUGUCCGGAAAGAAAUCCUUGGCUCUAAUACAGUCGGGGGAUGACGGUACCGGAAGAAUAAGCACCGGCUAACUACGUGCCAGCAGCCGCGGUAAUACGUAGGGUGCAAGCGUUAAUCGGAAUUACUGGGCGUAAAGCGUGCGCAGGCGGUUUGCUAAGACCGAUGUGAAAUCCCCGGGCUCAACCUGGGAACUGCAUUGGUGACUGGCAGGCUAGAGUAUGGCAGAGGGGGGUAGAAUUCCACGUGUAGCAGUGAAAUGCGUAGAGAUGUGGAGGAAUACCGAUGGCGAAGGCAGCCCCCUGGGCCAAUACUGACGCUCAUGCACGAAAGCGUGGGGAGCAAACAGGAUUAGAUACCCUGGUAGUCCACGCCCUAAACGAUGUCAACUAGUUGUUGGGGAUUCAUUUCCUUAGUAACGUAGCUAACGCGUGAAGUUAACCGCCUGGGGAGUACGGUCGCAAGAUUAAAACUCAAAUGAAUUGACGGGGU